AAUACCUUGACUUCCUGCAGAUGUGGCUGCUGUGUCACAUGUGCGUCAGUAGGUGGCAGAGAGGACAUAGGCUAUGUCUAUGCUCAGUGUUCUGCCCUGUGAACAUCCCUGAAAGAAAGCAAGCCUGAAAGG